rnacentral:lncRNA from 1 species
GACAGAAUAAAUGGAUUCGUCAAGUUUAAGAUGCUUUAUUCAUACGACAUAAAUAAAUUAACCCUGAAAGUACACAAAUAACAAAACGUAAAUACAUAGACAGUACAGUGUACAAAGGGAUAUAACUCUAAAUCAUAAAACGGAAAGUACAUGUAUAAAAUACGAUAAACUAGCUCUUUUCUGUAAGAAUACAACCAAUACUAUUUAAGUGUAUAUAUUAUAAAUAUAUGAAUUCAAUCAAACUCAAUUAUCAACCAAGUCAGGAUUAAUUGCUACAUUAUGUCCAAUUAUGUUACGCUACUCAUUCAUAGAUUUAUGAAUGAACUAUUUCUUACUAUAAUGUUUACAUGUAAUAAUUGACAUACAGGUAACUACUAUUCAGAAGACACAAACAAUACAUAUACUGAACUAAAAUUAAAUAGACAAACACAGAC